CGUCACGCACGCGGCAAAAACAAAAAUGACGUACGCGCGGCUUCUCACCAAAGUGUAGGUUUUAUCAAAAGUUUUGCCCAUUUUAGUGACACAAAUGCUAUAAUUUUCAGAAAUACACAAUUAAGAGGAUAUUUUUAUUUAGCAGCCGUUGAUUAUUCGCGUACUGAAGGGUAUUUUGGAAGAACAUGGCCACGGAUUCCGCAGAGACGAGAUAUGCCCACCUGCUGCAACCCCUGCGGGACCUCACCAAGAACUGGGACAUUGACCUGGCCAGCCAGCUCGGAGAGUAUCUUGAGGAGCUGGACCAGAUGACCAUUUCAUUUGAUGGUGGGAAAACUAUGAUGAACUUUGCAGAGGCUGCACUUUUAAUUCAAGGAUCAACGUGCAUCUAUGGCAGAAAGGUGGAGCUCCUUCACACUCUGGUGUUUCAAACAUUGGACUACAUCUCUAACAAAAACAAGAAACGUGAUAAACAAGGUUCUUCAUCAGAUGGUAACCAAGAAAAAGCCCAUUCAGGCAAUGAAGGUGACGAUUGUGAGUUUGAUGAGAUUGAACAGGAUGAGAAUGUCAACUCUCAGAAUAUAACAAUGAAAGAUCCAACAGAGCCCGUGAAGAUUAUCCGUCUCCCUCCUGAGUCUCUCAUUCCUGCCGAAUCACAUGAGAAACAGAAAUACCCCCUUCUCAGUCUUAAAGGGGAGCUUCUUGGCAGCUGUAAGGAUUUUCGGAUUAAUAAUUUCACCAUGGAUGAAGCGGGAUUGAUGCGUCUGGGCUCUUCACACGCUCACUUCCUCAAGGAGGUUGCAGAAAUCCAGCACAAUUUCUCUGUACAUGCACCUGUGCCCUUACAGACAGAAGGGGUUGCUGAGGUUGAUGGUGGUUACGAUGAAGAAGAUGGUGGUGCUGAGGUUCUUCCUCCACUGGAAGAUCAUGGGAUGGAGGUGGAGUCUGAAGAGUGGGUAGAAAGGCAUCAGGGCCCGAGUGAGGGGAGGAUGCUGAGACCGAGACCUGAAGUACAGCCAAUUUCAGUGGAACCUAAGCAACCCAAGGAAAGUGUGGACCCUUGGAAAUGGCACGACUCAUAUGCUGUGUUUGGGGAGGACAAACCUCUCAAAAUAGGCAAGUGUUAUAAAGUGCCAGCAGGUCUUGAAGAGUCUGGAAAAAGAAAGAGGAAGGGUCCUUCAAAACUGCAGGACUUUGGCAGCUGGUACUCUAAAGCUUUUGAGACUGCGGAUCGCAAGCUUAAGAAUGGACCCACUUAUCCUGACCUUAAUUACAUCUUUGUGAGUAAAAUGGGUCAGCGUCUGAAAGUACAGAAGCAGAUUCUCAGGAAAAGGGGUGUUUUUGUCUCCGAUGAGGAGUUAAAGAAGACUUACCUGGAACCAGAGAAUCUUGAGGACCAGGUCGAGGUGGUCCGGCAUCCAGAUGUAGAGGGUGAGGACUUUUCAGAUCAGGAACAUGACGACUUUGUUGAUGAUCUUGAACCUGCGGAUCACCUCGGAGAACAGGAGCAAAUUUUCCAAGACUUGCAUAUGAGCCGGAUGAGUUAUGAAGAUCUGGUCAAGAAGAGUGUGGAUCUGUUUCUGGUGAACUCUCAGAAGUAUGCACAGGAGACGGCGUUGUCUCGAAGAGUCAAAGAGUGGGAGGAUGGAAUCAACCCUCAUCUUGCUGCCCAGGAGACCCGUCUUGCUUUUGACAUCCAUGAGUAUGGAGACAGAAUUGUCCAGGCUCUCUCUAGCGUGGGGAUGAAGAAAUCAUUUGCCUUCGUUGUCGAAGGCAAGGAGAACACAGAAGCCUGCAGAUACAUGCUGGCUGCGCUACAGCUGGCCAAUGAUUACACUGUGGAGAUUGACAAGAAGGAGGGACUUGAAGACAGCGUAGAUACAAUGGAACUCACAUUACUGACUACACAGAGAGCUCAUGAACGUCUCAAAACCUACAACGCACCUUCUGCUACAGAUAUUCCCUGACCUUUUACUUUUGUUUAUUGCUUAUCAUCUCUUCCCUUUGGCCCCAAACAGAAGCUCUUUAUCACUGACAACAUCAGAGAGAUAAAAAUCACUCAAAGACUUUCUAUGCUUUUCUAUUCUAGGCAUUUUGCUCUCGUAAUGCAAACAUGUAUACUGAUAUUCAGCACUGCUCUUGCAUUUGAAUUUGGUCUUUAAACACGCAUGAAGGAAUCGGAGUCACAAGAUGUGAUUCAAUUAUAUGUAAAAUUAUGAUAAAAGUCUGUACAAUUGUCUGUUUCUAUGCAUUUUCUGGACACUUCAUCUCCAAGUAAACGAUUUUUAAAGUUUCCAUCUAUUAUAUUUUUUGUUUUAUUUCAAUUAAAAAAAACUAUUUUUAAUAGUUUUAUUUACUUGCAGUUAAUUAUGCAAAUAAGGAACUAGGAUGCGGUUGAUCA